CUUGUGUGUCUAGACCCAUAAUUUCACUUCUUCAGUUAAGAAGUGUAGGCAGACUACAUAACACUUUAAAGGUUCCGCGUUAAUGCGGUUUUGUAGUAUAAAAUUGGACUUGAGGAUUGUUGGCUCCUUUGUCCGGCUUUUUUACGCGUCGCGCCAGCGCAGCCGUUUGCGCACCUGAGUCCGCUGCUCAGCUUAUGCAGCCUUAACAUGACUUUACAUCAUCUGAGUCACUAAACUAUCAUGGAGAUCCUAUUUAUUAUUUGUUGUGAACCUUGGUGAAUGCGCAGUGUCUCACUGUGGAAUAACCGGAGUCCAGGUGUCACAAGGAAAGAGUCAAGGUGGCCGUCUGGAGGAGCCAGCUGGGAUUUGACAGAGCGCAGGAGUUUGGGAUGCAAGAGAAAACUUAGAGAGACAGCUCUCGGCCUCUUUUACCUGGAUUCAACUGAGUCAUGGCCUCUGAAGUGUUACUGCUGCCAGUAUGUCUUGCAGCUGGCUCCUUAUCUUCUGAGUAAAAUCUGGCUAGUUGCUCUCUCUGCCAUCUGCUUCACAAGGGAAUCCAAGUAAGAAUCCCAAGCAUACCUGUUCCGGUACAACAUCCUGUUCUUCGUCUACCUCAUCCAUCUUCUGUUUAUUUCCACUCUUCCCAGAGCCUACGAGCACAACAGUGUUACUGUAAAAUGCUUGUUGCCUUUAUGAGAGCAACAGUUUAGAUUUUGUUCUCCUCCACUGAGAAUUAAAUGACUUCAAAGGGAUGAAAAGCCAAAUACUGCAAUUAAUGACAUUAGAGAGUAAAUCACAAAAACCACAACAGCAAGUUGCAUAAGGUAUUGUUUGUCUCUAUAGUAAUGUAUCCUUGGGCGCACAGCCGCACCACAGCUUUUUAAAGCAAAAACACCUAAUGAAUUAUUCAUGUCACACAUUUGGUUGAAGUUUAUUUCACAGAUUUAACUGAGUCCUGCGAUGGACUCCGACCUGUCCAGGGUGUACUCCACCUUUCACCCUAUGGCAGUUGGGAUAGGCUCCAGCCCCCACCUGGAGAUCCUGAGUUAGGCAAGUGGUUAAGAAAAUUAAUGAAUGGAUUUAAGUGCUGCACAUCCUUAGAGAUUAAAAGACAAAAUGAAACAGACCAUCAAAAUAAAGCAGUGAAUUUAGCUCAGUUCCCUCCUAAUUCCCUCCAAAAACUGGAUAAGUGGAAGAAGUUGGAUGGAUGGAUGGAUGGAUGGAUGGGUGACUAAAAGAGUAGUGUAUGUGUGUCCUAUUUAAUUAAAGACUUAUAAAGAGUGUUUUAUAAGUUUGUGCUGUCAGUAUCUAAUAUCCACAGUAAGUUUGCAAAAAUUAAGAGUCUUGUGCUCAUUACAAUUUAUGAAAAUGAAGGAGGAUAUAAGUUUGUUUGUUGUGUGUUGUCUUAUGGAAAAUUAAUUAAACUCAAUA